CCUAACUAGUCAGGUUCAACGUUAACUCUGCAGUGUGAAAGGCAACCUUCUGUGUUUCAUGGGCGGGGUCUCCCGUUGAGUAAAAGGGAAAGAUGGAGCUGAGCCUGCAUUUAACAUUCUUUGCUUCUGACUGUGGAUGCAGUGUGACCAGAGGCCUCCUUAAGCUCUGCUGUGGCUUCCCUGGUGACCCUGUGAAAGGGUCAUUUGACCCCCCAAAGAGGUCAUGGCCCCACAGGUGGAGGAGCACUGAUCUCAGUAAAAGGAGGUUUAUUGCUAAUGUGGUGGAGAAUCCAAAGACAAGAAGGGCUAUGUAAUGGAUCACUUCUACAUAACACACUGCAAACUAUUUUCUCCUUACUCCCUGUCCUCUGGGAUUACAGUGGUAAUUCUCUGUCAUAAAAGCAAUAAAUUACAACAUUUCCAUUGUGAUUUUUCAUUUCUUGGUAUGAGAGAUUUGUGUCAUGACCGUUCUCUU